GACGAACGCUGGCGGCGUGCCUAAUACAUGCAAGUUGAGCGCUGAAGGUUGGUACUUGUACCAACUGGAUGAGCAGCGAACGGGUGAGUAACGCGUGGGGAAUCUGCCUUUGAGCGGGGGACAACAUUUGGAAACGAAUGCUAAUACCGCAUAAAAACUUUAAACACAAGUUUUAAGUUUGAAAGAUGCAAUUGCAUCACACAAAGAUGAUCCCGCGUUGUAUUAGCUAGUUGGUGAGGUAAAGGCUCACCAAGGCGAUGAUACAUAGCCGACCUGAGAGGGUGGUCGGCCACAUUGGGACUGAGACACGGCCCAAACUCCUACGGGAGGCAGCAGUAGGGAAUCUUCGGCAAUGGACGAAAGUCUGACCGAGCAACGCCGCGUGAGUGAAGAAGGUUUUCGGAUCGUAAAACUCUGUUGGUAGAGAAGAACGUUGGUGAGAGUGGAAAGCUCAUCAAGUGACGGUAACUACCCAGAAAGGGACGGCUAACUACGUG
rnacentral:rRNA from 1 species